UACUAGAGUAGCACUCGCAUAUCAAUAAGCGGAGGAAAAGAAACUAACAAGGAUUCCCCUAGUAACGGCGAGUGAAGCGGGAAGAGCUCAAAUUUGAAAUCUUAAAGGGUUUCCCUUUACGAAUUGUAGUUUAAAGAAGUGUUUUCUGUUGAGGUUUUGGUAAAAGUUCUUUGGAAUAGGACAUCAUAGAGGGUGAGAAUCCCGUAUUUGACCUUUACUUUCAACUUUGUGAUACACUUUCAAAGAGUCGGAUUGUUUGGGAAUGCAGUCCAAAAUGGGUGGUAAAUUUCAUCUAAAGCUAAAUAUUGGCGAGAGACCGAUAGCGAACAAGUACCGUGAGGGAAAGAUGAAAAGAACUUUGAAAAGAGAGUUAAACAGUACGUGAAAUUGUCAAAAGGGAAGCGUUUGACACCAGUGUUGUUUUUCUGAAAAUCAAUUAAAGAACUGUUUAUGCUAAGCCGUUUAGACUUUAUCAGCUAUCUGUUUAGUUUUGAGCUUUUCUUUAAUGCACUUUUCAGUUAACAAGUCAACAUCAAUUUCUUUUGCUGUAAAAAAGCUUGAGGAAGGUGGCUUGAGAUUCGUCUUAAGUGUUUAUAGCCUCUUGCCUAUGCAGUCGGAGAGAUUGAGGUCUGCAGCGUAGAUCCUUCGGGGCUAAAUGCAUUUGUGCUAAGUUAUAGCAUUUUAUAGACAACUUGUUGACUAUGAUUUGUCUUGUAGCUUACUCGCUUAUGUUAUUUUACCUACGCUUAGGAUGUUGAGCGCAUGUCUCUCUCU
rnacentral:rRNA from 1 species